CUGCGUCCUGUCAUUUUUUUCACAAAACAUCCUCGUAUGGUGAGGACUCGUGCUCCGAGAGGAAACCAACGGGUAAAACACGCGUUGUAUGCAUCGUCUCCUCUCGACGACGGCGCUGGCCGAUCCGCUGUGACGAGCGCGCUUUGGUGCGGAGAGAUCGGCCGCAAAUCUUAUUCCCACUCCGUUUCACAGCAGAGAUCGCACCAAAUCUUCUCGAUUAUCAUCUCCACCGAUGCAACUGAAGAACAAAGCGGCGGCGGAAAAAUGGAUCGGAACCGGGGAAAGGGAGCUGCGGCAGCUUGAAUCACUGCCGGCAAAAGGGUGCGGCAGCAGCCGUCUCCGCUCCUCGAUCUGCCGCAGGUGCUGCCUCCCCACCUGCUGGCACCUGCAGAUCCGGCCGGCUUGACCUUCUCCAGCGUCCAUGGACCGAGCUUCAGCGGCGUGGUGGACGGAGACGCCGAGGCAGAGGCCGCGGCCGGGGAAGUCAGUGGCCUGCACGGCGGCGAGCGCGACGCCCCGUCGUCCCCCGACGGCUUCAGCUGCGGCCUCUCCUUGGGACUGCAACGGCUCAAGGCCUGCGGUCUGCAGGUACUCUCACCCUCCGCGCAAGGCAGCCGGCUUCCGAGGCUCCGAGAAUGGCGACCUCCUCUUCUGGAUCCAGCGCUCCAACCUCCGAUUCGACUGCUCGUCAACUCCCGGCAGCAUCCUUCUUCGGGGAUAGUAGUAGCAGUAGCGUUUAUCCGCUCUCUCCCUUGGCUGUCAGGUUCUCAAUUUUCUGCAGCACUGCUACAGUAGAUUAAAUCUGUUCUUGCUCGUUCAGCUGCAGCUUGGCUUGGUGUUUCGAUCCCAAGCUUUGAUUUUUUCCAUUGGUCUGCGCUGCUUUGCUCGGUCUGCACUUCUCUGCCUAUUUUUCUGUAUUGCUCGGCUUGAUUCAGAACUAGCAGUUGCAGGUGGACAGCAGCAGUAUGCUCUAUUCUUCUCUCUGGACAAUCAAAAUAUUAUGUUAUCUCAAUUUUACUGCUCAUUCAGUUUGUCGUGAAAAGCUUGAAUAUAGGCAUACUGUGUGAACAGGUUAAACUUGUGCUUUUCUGGUGUGAACAGAGUGAAGAUGUUAAACUUGUGA